CGUAAGGCGCCGAAUGAGUCAUUAAAAAUUAACAUCAUCCGAUCCCUAGUCGGCAUAGUUUAUGGUUAAGACUACGACGGUAUCUGAUCGUCUUCGAUCCCCUAACUUUCGUUCUUGAUUAAUGAAAACAUCCUUGGCAAAAUGCUUUUCGCAGUAGUUAGUCUUCAAUAAAUCCAAAGAAUUUCACCUCUGACAAUUGAAUACUAAUGCCCCCAACUAUCCCUAUUAAUCAUUACGUCAAUCCUAAGAAACCAACAAAUAAGAUCGAACGUCCUAUUUCAUUAUUCCAUGCUAAUGUAUUCAAGCGUUAGCCUGCUUUAAACAC
rnacentral:rRNA from 1 species